rnacentral:rRNA from 1 species
AGAAUCAACGCUGGCGGCGUGCCUAACACAUGCAAGUCGCACGAGAAAGGGGAGCAAUCCCUGAGUACAGUGGCGCACGGGUGAGUAACACGUGAAUCAUCUACCUCCGAGUGGGGAAUAACUGAGAGAAAUCUUAGCUAAUACCGCAUAACACUUACGAGUCAAAGCAGCAAUGCGCUUGGAGAGGAGUUCGCGGCAGAUUAGUUAGUUGGCGGGGUAAUGGCCCACCAAGACGAUGAUCUGUAUCCGGCCUGAGAGGGCGCACGGACACACUGGAACUGAAACACGGUCCAGACUCCUACGGGAGGCAGCAGUGGGGAAUUUUGCGCAAUGGGGGAAACCCUGACGCAGCAACGCCGCGUGGAGGAUGAAGCCCCGUUGGGGUGUAAACUCCUUUCGAUCGGGAAGAUAAUGACGGUACCGAUAUAAGAACGCCCCGGCUAACUUCGCGCCAGCAGCCGC